rnacentral:rRNA from 1 species
UACGUAGGGUGCGAGCGUUGUCCGGAAUUAUUGGGCGUAAAGAGCUCGUAGGCGGUUUGUUGCGUCGGCUGUGAAAUCCCGAGGCUCAACCUCGGGUCUGCAGUCGAUACGAGCAAACUAGAGUGUUGCAGGGGGAGACUGGAAUUCCUGGUGUAGCGGUGAAAUGCGCAGAUAUCAGGAGGAACACCGGUGGCGAAGGCGGGUCUCUGGGCCGAUAUUGACGCUGAGGAGCGAAAGCGUGGGGGAGCGAACAGG